rnacentral:rRNA from 1 species
UACAUAGGGUGCGAGCGUUGUCCGGAAUUACUGGGCGUAAAGAGCUCGUAGGUGGUUUGUCGCGUUGUCCGUGAAAACUCACAGCUCAACUGUGGGCGUGCGGGCGAUACGGGCAGACUGGAGUACUGCAGGGGAGACUGGAAUUCCUGGUGUAGCGGUGGAAUGCGCAGAUAUCAGGAGGAACACCGGUGGCGAAGGCGGGUCUCUGGGCAGUAACUGACGCUGAGGAGCGAAAGCGUGGGGAGCGAACAGG